CAGUCGCCGCGGUAAUACGAACCGUGCGAACGUUAUUCGGAAUCACUGGGCUUAAAGCGCGUGUAGGCGGAUGGGGACGUCGGUAGCUGAAAGCCCCCGGCUCAACCGGGGAAGUGGCGCCGAAACGCCCCGUCUGGAGGGACGUAGGGGGACCUGGAACUUCCGGUGGAGCGGUGAAAUGCGUUGAGAUCGGAAGGAACGCCCGUGGCGAAAGCGAGGUCCUGGACGUCUACUGACGCAGAGACGCGAAAGCUAGGGGAGCGAACGGGAUUAGAGACCCCCGUAGUCCCUGUCUCUUAUA
rnacentral:rRNA from 1 species